rnacentral:rRNA from 1 species
UACGUAGGGGGCAAGCGUUGUCCGGAUUUAUUGGGCGUAAAGAGCGUGUAGGCGGCUUUACAGGUCCGUUGUGAAAACUCGAGACUCAACCUCGAGACGCCGGUGGAAACCGUAAAGCUAGAGUCCGGAAGAGGAGAGUGGAAUUCCUGGUGUAGCGGUGAAAUGCGCAGAUAUCAGGAAGAACACCCGUGGCGAAGGCGGCUCUCUGGGACGGUACUGACGCUGAGACGCGAAAGCGUGGGGAGCGAACAGG